rnacentral:rRNA from 1 species
UACGUAGGGGGCAAGCGUUGUCCGGAUUUAUUGGGCGUAAAGAGCGUGUAGGCGGCUUUACAGGUCCGUUGUGAAAACUCGAGGCUCAACCUCGAGACGCCGGUGGAAACCGUAAAGCUAGAGUCCGGAAGAGGAGAGUGGAAUUCCUGGUGUAGCGGUGAAAUGCGCAGAUAUCAGGAGGAACACCCGUGGCGAAAGCGGCUCUCUGGGACGGUACUGACGCUGAGACGCGAAAGCGUGGGGAGCGAACCGG